rnacentral:rRNA from 1 species
AAAUACUACCUGAUGACCGAUAGAGGAGCAGUACCGUGAGGGAAAGGUGAAAAGGACCCCGGGAGGGGAGUGAAAGAGAACCUGAAACCUUGUGCUUACAAGCACUCAAAGCCCGUUAAGGGGUGAUGAGGUACCUUUUGUAGAAUGGUCCGGCGAGUUAUUGUUAUCAGCAAGCUUAAGGUAUUCAGUACCGAAGGCGUAGGGAAACCGAGUGUGAAUAGCGCGCAUGAAGUUGGUGGCAAUAGACCCGAAACCGGGUGACCUAUCCAUGGGCAGGUUGAAGUGGAGGUAAAACUCCAUGGAGGACCGAACGCACGUUCGUUGCAAUGACCGGCGAUGACCUGUGGAUAGCGGUGAAAUUCCAAUCGAACCCGGAGAUAGCUGGUUCUCCCCGAAAUAGCUUUAGGGCUAGCGUCGAGGUAAGUUGCGUGAAGGUAGAGCACUGAAUAUGUGAUGGCCCCAUCUCGGGGUACUGAGCAUAAUCAAACUGCGAAUGUCACGCCAACAUGCUCGGCAGUCAGACAGCGGGUGAUAAGGUCCGUUGUCAAGAGGGAAACAGCCCAGACCAUCAGCUAAGGUCCCAAAAUGUAUGCUAAGUGGAAAAGGAUGUGGAGAUGUACAGACAACUAGGAGGUUGGCUCAGAAGCAGCCAUCCUUUAAAGAGUGCGUAACAGCUCACUAGUCGAAUGACUCUGCGCCGAUAAUUUACCGGGGCUAAGCAUACUACCGAAGCUAUGGAUCCCAAGGGAUGGUAGGGGAGCGUUCCAUGAACGGAGAAGUACGACCGAAAGGACGUGUGGAGAUCAUGGAAGAGAGAAUGCCGGUGUGAGUAGCGGAACGUGGGUGAGAAUCCCACGCACCGAAAACCCAAGGUUUCCAGAGGAAGGUUCGUCCGCUCUGGGUAAGUCGGGACCUAAGGCGAGGCCGAAAGGCGUAGUCGAUGGACAACAGGUAGAGAUUCCUGUACCCGUAUAUAUGUGAAGGAAUGACGGAGAGAGGAAGCUGCAGCCAGCGGCUGGAAGAGCUGGUGCAAGCGAGAUAUCGGGAUGGCAGGCAAAUCCACCAUCCGAAACGAGAAGGCGUGAAGCGUACGGAAAGCUACGGCGAGUACGGAAGGCAGUGGAGGAACUUCCAAGAAAAGUUUCUAACGUUAAGUAUAUAUGGCCCGUACCGAAAAUGGACACACAUGGGUGAGGAGAGAAUCCUAAGGUGAGCGAGAGAACUAUAGCUAAGGAACUCUGCAAAAUGACUCCGUAACUUAGGGAGAAGGAGUGCUCAUAGAGAUAUGAGCCGCAGUGAAACGGCCCAAGCGACUGUUUACCAAAAACACAGCUCUCUGCUAAGCCGCAAGGCGAAGUAUAGGGGGUGACGCCUGCCCGGUGCUGGAAGGUUAAGGGGAGGGGUUAACGCAAGUGAAGCCCUGAACUGAAGCCCCAGUAAACGGCGGCCGUAACUAUAACGGUCCUAAGGUAGCGAAAUUCCUUGUCGGGUAAGUUCCGACCUGCACGAAAGGCGCAACGACUUGGGCGCUGUCUCGACCAUGGACCCGGUGAAAUUGCACUGGUCGUGAAGAUGCGACUUACCCGCGGAAGGACGGAAAGACCCCGUGAACCUUCACUGCAGCUUGGCAUUGGCCGCUGGUCCCGCGUGUAGAGGAUAGGCAGGAGGCGAAGAUCCGGAGGCGCCAGCCCCCGGGGAGCCGCCCUUGGAAUACUGCCCUCGCGCGACCGGCGUCCUAACCCGAGGCCGUCAACCGGCUCGGGGACCGUGCCAGGCGGGCAGUUUGACUGGGGCGGUCGCCUCCUAAAGGGUAACGGAGGCGCGCGAAGGUCCGCUCGGGACGGUCGGCAACCGUCCUUUUGAAUGCAAGAGUACAAGCGGGCUUGACUGCGAGGCCCACAAGCCGAGCAGGUGCGAAAGCAGGCUCUAGUGAUCCGGCGGCCCCGAGUGGGUGGGCCGUCGCUCAACGGAUAAAAGGUACUCCGGGGAUAACAGGCUGAUCUUGCCCAAGAGUCCACAUCGACGGCAAGGUUUGGCACCUCGAUGUCGGCUCAUCGCAUCCUGGGGCUGGAGCAGGUCCCAAGGGUACGGCUGUUCGCCGUUUAAAGCGGUACGCGAGCUGGGUUCAGAACGUCGUGAGACAGUUCGGUCCCUAUCCUCCGUGGGCGCAGGAGAAUCGAUGGAGGCUGCCCCCAGUACGAGAGGACCGGGGUGGACGCACCUCCGGUGAACCGGUUGUCGACCAACGGCACGGCCGGGUAGCCGCGUGCGGCGCGGAUAACCGCUGAAGGCAUCUAAGCGGGAAGCCGUUCCAGGGAUUAGUUCUCCUUCCGGUAAGGGCCCAGGUAGACUACCUGGUCGAUAGACGGCAGGUGCAAGGCUGGCGACAGCCUCAGCCGAGCCGCACUAAUCGCCCGAGCUCUUCCGGA